rnacentral:rRNA from 1 species
ACAACUUUUAACAAUAGAUCUCUUAGUUCUAGCAUUAAUAAAGAACGCAGUGAAAUGCAAUAAGUAGUGUGAAUUACAGAAUUUAGUAAAUUAUUAAAUCUUUAAACGCACAUUGCGCCCCUUAGUAUUCUAUAGGGCAGACCUAUUUAAGCGUUAUUUGUACCCUUAAGCUCUACUUAGUGUUAGGUGUUUAUUCUACUUAGGACUUGCCUUAAAACAAUUAGCAGCUAGCAUAUUAGCCUAGAGCGCAGCAUAUUUUGCGCCUCUUGUUAUAGUUAUUAGUAUCUAUUAAGAUACUUUUUAAGCUCUUAACCUUAGAUUAGGUAGGGAUACCUGCUAAACUUAAGCAUAUUAAUAAGCGGAGGAAAAGAAACUAAUAGGGAUUGCCCUAGUAACAGCGAGUAAAGCGGCAAUAGCUUAAAUUUAAAAUCUAGCUCUUUUAGGGUCUAAGUUAUAAUUUGCAGAGGGCGCUUUAGCGUUAGCAGCAGUCUAAGUUCCUUAGAAUAGGACGUUAUAGAGGGUAAGAAUCCUAUACGUAGUUGCUAGCCUUUGCUGUGUAAAGCCCCUUUAACAAGUUAAGUUAUUUAGGAAUAUAGCUCUAAAUAGGAGGUAAAUUUCUUCUAAAGCUAAAUACUAGCUAGAGACUAAUAGUAUAUAAGUAGAGUAAUUAAAAGAUAAAAAGCACUUUAGAAAGAGAGUUAAAUAGCACGUGAAAUUGUUAAAAGGGAAGCGCUUAUAGCUAGACUUGCCUAUAGUUACUUAUCUAGGCUUUUGUCUAGUGCACUCUUCUAUAGGCAGGCUAGUAUUAGUUUAGGUAGUUAGAUAAAGGUCUCUAUUACGUACCUCCCUUUAGGGAGGCCUUAUAGGGGAGACAACAUGCAACUAGCCUAGACUAAGGUCUACGUAUCUGCUAGGAUGCUAGCGUAAUAGCUGUAAGCGGCCUAUUUUAAAAUAUAGACUAAGGAGUCUAAUAUCUAUAUAAGUAUUUAGGUGUUAAGCCUAGACGCGUAAUAAAAGUAAAUAGAGGUAGGACCCCUUUUAGGGUGCACUAUUAACUAAUCCUAAUAUCUUUAGAAGGAUUUAAGUAAGAGCAUAGCUAUUAGGACCUAAAAGAUAGUAAACUAUGCUUAAAUAGGGUGAAGCUAGAGGAAACUCUAGUAGAGGCUCGCAGCAGUUCUAACGUGCAAAUUAAUCGUUAAAUUUAGGUAUAGGGGCGAAAGACUAAUUAAACUAUCUAGUAGCUAGUUCCUGCUAAAGUUUCCCUUAGGAUAGCAGUAACGUAUUUAGUUUUAUAAGGUAAAGCGAAUAAUUAGAGGCCUAGGGGUUAAAAUAACCUUUACCUAUUCUUAAACUUUAAAUAUAUAAGAAGUCCUUAUUACUUAAUUAAACGUAGACACUUAAAUAUACUAUUACUAGUAGGCUAUUUUUAGUAAGCAGAACUAGUAAUGCAGGAUAAACUAAACGCAGGGUUAAGGUGCUAGAAUACACGCUUAUUAGACACUACAAAAGGUGUUAGUUUAUCUAGAUAGCAGGACAGUAGCUAUAGAAGUUAGAAUCUACUAAGGAGUGUGUAACAACUUACCUACUAAAUAAACUAGCCCUAAAAAUAAAUAGCGCUUAAGCGUGUUACCUAUACCCCGCCGCUAGGGCAAGAUUUAAGCCCUAGCAAGUAGGUAGGCGUAGAGGCUUGUGACAAAGCCUUAGGGGUAACCCUAGGUAGAAUAGCCUCUAGUAUAGAUCUUAGUAGUAGUAGCAAAUACUUAAAUAAGAACUUUAAGGACUAAAGUAGGGAAAGGUUCUGUGUGAAUAGCAGUUAGACACAGGUUAGUUAAUCCUAAGAGAUAGGGUAAUUCUGUUUUAAUAUUAGCGCUUACGCCACGCCCUUAAAAGGGAAGCUAGUUAAUAUUCUAGCACCUAGAUAUAGAUUCUCCGCGGCAACGCAACUAAGAGCGGAGACCUUAGCAGGAGCCCUAAGAAGAGUUCUCUUUUCUUCUUAACAGUCUGUUACCCUAAAAUUAGUUUGUCUAGAGCUAGGGUUUAAUAGCUAGAAGAGUGCUACACUUUUAUAGUAUUUAGUGCGCUCCUAACAAGCCUUAAAAAUCUACUUAAAGAAAUAGUUUUUACGCUAGGUUGUACUUAUAACUGUAGUAGGUCUCUAAGGUAAAAAGCCUCUAGUUAAUAGAAUAAUAUAGAUAAGGGAAGUUAGCAAAAUAGAUCUAUAACUUUAGGAAAAGGAUUAGCUCUAAGGGUUAGGUACGUUAGGCCUUAGGGAGAAGCCUCUAGCGCAGAAGGGCACUAACCGCAAGGUAGGCGCCUCUUAGCGCUAGGGUGCAGACACCCUUAGUAGGUUUUAGCUGUCUAGCGUACGUUUAACAACUAACUUAGAACUAGUAUAGAUAAGGGGAAUCUAACUAUCUAAUUAAAAUAUAGCAUUGCAAUAGCUAGAAAGUAGUAUUAACGCAAUGUAAUUUCUGCCUAGUGCUCUGAAUGUCAAAGCGAAGAGAUUCGACCAAGCGCCGGUAAACGGCGGGAGUAACUAUGACUCUCUUAAGGUAGCCAAAUGCCUCGUCAUCUAAUCGGUAACGAGUAUAAAUAGAUGAGCAAGAUUCCUACUGGCCCUAUCUACUAUCUAGCGAAACCACAGCCAAGGGAACGGGCUUGGCCAAAUCAGCGGGGAAAGAAGACCCUGUUAAGCUUAACUCUAGUUUAACAUUGUGAAAAGACAUAGGGGGUAUAGAAUAGGUAGGAGCUUUAGCGCUAGUGAAAUACUACUACCCUUAUCGUUUUUUUACUUAUUUAAUAAAGCAGAGCUAGGCCUUACUACCUAACUUCUAGCGUUUAAGGUCCUUUAUAGGCUAAUCUAGGUUAAAGACAUUGUUAGGUAGGGAGUUUAGCUAGGGCGGCACAUCUAUUAAACUAUAACGCAGGUGUCCUAAGGGGGACUUAUAGAGAAUAGAAAUCUCUAGUAGAGUAAAAGGGCAAAAGUCCCCUUAAUUUUAAUUUUUAGUGUGAAUACAAACUAUAAAAGUGUAGCCUAUUAAUCCUUUAGUCCCUUAAAAUUUGAGGCUAGAGGUGCUAGAAAAGUUACCACAGGGAUAACUAGCUUGUGGCAGCCAAGCGUUUAUAGCAACGUUGCUUUUUAAUCCUUUAAUAUUAGCUCUUCCUAUUAUACUAAAGUAGAAUUUAGUAAGCGUUAGAUUGUUUACCUACUAAUAGGGAACGUAAGCUAGGUUUAGACUGUCGUAAGACAGGUUAGUUUUACCCUACUAAUAACCUUGCCCUAAUAGUAAUACCGCUUAGUACGAGAGGAACCGCGGUUUUAGAUAAUUGGUUUUUGCAGCUGUCUAACUAGGUAUUGCCGCGAAGCUACUAUCUACUAGAUUAUAGCUAAACGCCUCUAAGUUAGAAUCUAUGCUAGAAUAGGGUAAUUUCCGCCUGCACUAGUUAGAUAUAAAUAGGCCUUUGGCCCAGAACCUUACUAGAUUAGCGUUGGCAGCCCUAUUAAAGUUAGGGUUGUUAGCUAGUGUAUUGCAAUUGUACAGUGCGCAGGAU